AUCUUAUCUUUCGGGUUGGAUUUGUCGAUGUUGUCUUCUAGACUGGAAAACUACUUAGGGAGGCUGACAAGGAAUCGGGUCACAAAAAGACAAUAACAUCACUUACAAAAUCUGCAGACGGUUCACACUUCCUUACUGGUUCCUUAGAUAAAUCUGCCAAGCUAUGGGACACAAGAACGUUGACUCUUAUCAAGACCUAUGUUACUGAACGUCCAGUCAAUGCUGUAGCUAUGUCUCCACUUCUCGACCAUAGGGUCAGCCCGAGAGCAUUGUGCAAGAUAUUGAGAACAUGGUUCGCUCUUACAUUGAGAAGGAAGUACAGUUUUGUCUUACGUAAAUAUGGUCUGCGCUACUUUGCGCCACUCGAUUCCAAAGUCCAUUGUUUAUUGUCAAGUCCAUGAAGCUAAAAGAAGCCUGCUUGACUUUUUCUACACGGAAUUGGGUAAACUGGAGCAAAAACGAUUAUCGGCAUUACUGAAUGAGGAUCCAGCAAUCAUGGAACGCCGAUCCGCUCUUGCGAAGAGACUGGAAUUAUAUAGGAGUGCACAAGCUGAAAUCGAUACGGUCGCUUGGUCGAAGUAAGAGUGGGUAAAUUUAGAUCCAUGGGGCAUGGUAUUGGGAUCUGUUUUGUUGUUUUUUCGUUAAAGCAAUAUAUUUUUUAAGAAUUUUAGAAUGCAAACAUCAUUUGUUGUGUAUUCUGAGUUUCUUUAAAGCUGUAUAAUAUGCAAAUGUUUUGCCACUU